UUUAAAACAUGCAGGGAGGGGGGCGCCCAGGAGCAGGGUUGAGAAACAUUGCUGGACUGCAAGAGCUUAAAACACUGGAGGACCAUGGUUACAUUCUAUUUCUGUGGAGUUUGUAUCUACCAUACUUGCAAAUCUACUUUGUAACCAUCAACCCAUAGUGCAUCCUGGUGCUGUGUGUUCUCCAGCUGAAAGGCAUUGGUCAUCCAAGUGGUUGGAAUCAGAUUGAUGGAGAAAAGGAGAUGCAAAAAGAAGAGCAAGAAGGGAAGGAAAUAGUGUCUUUGUUAAGGCAUUAUGGAAAGUUGAUUUGUUGCAUUUGUCUUUGUGUGUUGUUUGUUUCAUAUGCAACUACAAAAUGCAUGUAUUGAUUAAACAUUUUAAGUACAUUACAACAAGUGUUCACCCUACAUUUCUAAAUAAAAUGUUGUU